rnacentral:rRNA from 1 species
AGAACGAACGCUGGCGGCGUGCCUAACACAUGCAAGUCGAACGGAGAUAAGGGGCUUGCUCCUUAUCUUAGUGGCGCACGGGUGAGUAACGCGUGGAUAAUCUGCCUUGGAAUCUGGGAUAACAUCUCGAAAGGGGUGCUAAUACCGGAUAAGACCACGAGCUCUUCGGAGUUUGCGGUAAAAGGGGGCCUCUGUAUAUGCUUCUGUUUCAAGAUGAGUCCGCGUACCAUUAGCUAGUUGGCAGGGUAAUGGCCUACCAAGGCGACGAUGGUUAGCUGGUCUGAGAGGAUGAUCAGCCACACUGGAACUGAGACACGGUCCAGACUCCUACGGGAGGCAGCAGUGGGGAAUUUUGCGCAAUGGGGGAAACCCUGACGCAGCAACGCCGCGUGAGUGAUGAAGGCCUU